rnacentral:rRNA from 1 species
AUUGACCGCUGGCGGCAGGCCUAACACAUGCAAGUCGAGCGAGCGGCGGACGGGUUAGUCAUGUACGGGAAACUGCCCGAUAGAGGGGGAUAACUACUGGAAACGGUGGCUAAUACAGAAUACUGUCCGAUGAACCCAUAGGGCAUUAGCUAUUAGUUAAGGUAAUGGCUAACCUAGUCGACGAUCCCUAGCUGGUCUGAGAGGAUGAUCAGCCACACUGGGACUGAGACACUGCCCAGACUCCUACGUGAGGCAGCAGUGGGGAAUAGUGCACAUGGGGCGCAAGCCUGAUGCAGCCAUGCCGCGUGUGGGAAGAAGGCCCUAGGGUUGUAAAGGACUUUCAGUCGGGAGGCGUUACCGACAGAAGAAGCACCGGCUAACUCCGUGCCAGCCGCCGCGGUAAUAC